CCCGGCUGCAGGGAAGCAGGCCAGCGGAUAAUUACCCCUCGCUGCAAUCCGCAGAGCUGGCCUAAUCCGAAAGCUCAAGUGCCCGAUGAAGGCUGCAGCAAAGCACUGACUCUAAGUUAGGACAACUGAGCUACAGAGUGCACAGUGGAGGAACAGGGAAGAGAUGCGGGCUCCAUCACCACUUUUUUGGCAAUGCGGUGGGUGACAAGAAAGAUCUCUGCUUUCCUCUCACGUCUCCCAGCAGCCAGAGAAAGGUGUGAUCAGAUGGUCUUCUACUACAACAGGGGGCUGCUGGAAGAAGGAGCUGGGGCGAGUGCCAUCUCCCUCCCCGCGGCCGGGGGCAGCUUCGCGCCGGGGCCCCCGCAGCCCCAGAGAACAGAGCGAGGGGUCGAUGCCGGGUGUCCCCAGGAGAAAGAGCUACAAGUUUAUUCAUAAUUCAUGGUAGCAGAGCAGCAGAGCAGCCUGUUCAAGGGAGACAGGGAGAA